UACGGGGGGGGCAAGCGUUGUUCGGAAUUACUGGGCGUAAAGGGCUCGUAGGCGGCCAACUAAGUCAGACGUGAAAUCCCUCGGCUUAACCGGGGAACUGCAUCUGAUACUGGAUGGCUUGAGUUCGGGAGAGGGAUGCGGAAUUCCAGGUGUAGCGGUGAAAUGCGUAGAUAUCUGGAGGAACACCGGUGGCGAAGGCGGCAUCCUGGACCAAUACUGACACUGAGGCACGAAAGCGUGGGGAGCAAACAGG
rnacentral:rRNA from 1 species